AACCUUUGCCGCUGCAGGAUGGAGUACACUAACACCAGACAGAAGACCAGGUGGAGAGGUGGAAUUGAAACCUUUACCGAAGCAGGAUGGAGUACACUAACACCAGACAGAAGACCAGGUGGAGAGGUGGAAUUGAAACCUUUACCGAAGCAGGAUGGAGUACACUAACACCAGACAGAAGACCAGGUGGAGAGGUGGAAUUGAAACCUUUACCGAAGCAGGAUGGAGUACACUAACACCAGACAGAAGACCAGGUGGAGAGGUGGAAUUGAAACCUUUACCGAAGCAGGAUGGAGUACACUAACACCAGACAGAAGACCAGGUGGAGAGGUGGAAUUGAAACCUUUACCGAAGCAGGAUGGAGUACACUAACACCAGACAGAAGACCAGGUGGAGAGGUGGAAUUGAAACCUUUACCGAAGCAGGAUGGAGUACACUAACACCAGACAGAAGACCAG